GGGUGUGAUCAUACCAACGUUAAUGCACUCGAUCCCAUCAGAACUCUGCAGUUAAGCGCGCUUGGGCUAAAGUAGUACUGGGUAUGAUCGCACCUGUAAGUCCUUGUGUUGCACCCU
rnacentral:rRNA from 1 species